UACGAAGGGGGCUAGCGUUGCUCGGAAUCACUGGGCGUAAAGGGCGCGUAGGCGGCGUUUUAAGUCGGGGGUGAAAGCCUGUGGCUCAACCACAGAAUGGCCUUCGAUACUGGGACGCUUGAGUAUGGUAGAGGUUGGUGGAACUGCGAGUGUAGAGGUGAAAUUCGUAGAUAUUCGCAAGAACACCGGUGGCGAAGGCGGCCAACUGGACCAUUACUGACGCUGAGGAGCGAAAGCGUGGGGAGCGAACAGG
rnacentral:rRNA from 1 species